AUUGAACGCUGGCGGCAUGCCUUACACAUGCAAGUCGAACGGCAGCGGACCUUCGGGUGCCGGCGAGUGGCGAACGGGUGAGUAAUAUAUCGGAACGUACCUUUCAGUGGGGGAUAACGUAGCGAAAGUUACGCUAAUACCGCAUAUUCUGUGAGCAGGAAAGCAGGGGAUCGCAAGACCUUGCGCUGAUUGAGCGGCCGAUAUCAGAUUAGCUAGUUGGUGAGGUAAAGGCUCACCAAGGCGACGAUCCGUAGCGGGUCUGAGAGGAUGAUCCGCCACACUGGAACUGAGACACGGUCCAGACUCCUACGGGAGGCAGCAGUGGGGAAUUUUGGACAAUGGGCGCAAGCCUGAUCCAGCCAUGCCGCGUGAGUGAAGAAGGCCUCGGUUGUAAG
rnacentral:rRNA from 1 species